UACGUAUAAGUCAAAAUAGUGACCGACAUUUUUAUUCAUUUUAAAUUUUUAAUAGGUUGACUAUAAUUUGAAAUUGAGGAUCACAAUAGUAAUUUUCACGAGUACAUAGUAAUAUUUUUUUAAAAAAAAUUAUGACAAAAAGGAAAUGACUAGGUGGAAGAACUAUCUACUAGAAGAACUAUCUACUGGAAAUAAUAAACUUACUAGGUGGAAGAACUAUCUACUGGAAGACAUGCAUAUAAAUGGUUAUGCUGAUUAUACAAUGACUACUUCAGACAUAUAAUGGUAUAUAGAAAUCUCAACAAGUAUGCCAUAAUCUAUAAAUAUCUUAAUACAUGG
rnacentral:lncRNA from 1 species